rnacentral:rRNA from 1 species
GAUGAACGCUAGCGGCAGGCUUAAUACAUGCAAGUCGUGGGGCAGCAGGACUGUAGCAAUACAGUUGCUGGCGACCGGCAAACGGGUGCGGAACACGUACGCAACUUACCCUGAACUGGGGGAUAGCCCGGGGAAACCCGGAUUAAUACCCCGUAAUAUAAUGGAGUGGCAUCACUUUAUUAUUAAAGCUCCGGCGGUUCGGGAUGGGCGUGCGGCUGCUUAGGUAGUUGGUUGAGGUAACGGCUCACCAAGCCUACGAUCAGUAACUGGUGUGAGAGCACGACCAGUCAAACGGGGACUGGGACACGGGCCCGACGCGUACGGGAGGCAGCAGUAAGGAAGAUUGGGCAAUGGAGGCAACUCUGACCCAGCCAUGCCGCGUGGAGGAUGAAGGCCCUCUGGGUUGAAACUUCUUUUAUAGGGGACGAAACCUGUGUACUCUUACGCAGUUGACGGUACCCUAGGAAUAAGCACCGGCUAACUCCGUG